GACGAACGCUGGCGGCGUGCUUAACACAUGCAAGUCGAACGGAAAGGCCUGCUUUCCCUUGUGGAUUGCGGGUACUCGAGUGGCGAACGGGUGAGUAACACGUGAGUGAUCUGCCCCCAACUUGGGUAUAAGCCUGGGAAACUGGGUCUAAUUCCCGAUAGGACUGCAGGGUGGUGCCUGUGGUGGAAAACGAUUUUCUAGUGGUUGGGGAUGAGCUCGCGGCCUAUCAGCUUGUUGGUGGGGUAAUGGCCUACCAAGGCGGCGACGGGUAGCCGGCCUGGGAGGGUGGACGGCCACAUUGGGACUGAGAUACGGCCCAGACUCCCACGGGAGGCAGCAGUGGGGAAUAUUGCACAAUGGGCGGAAGCCUGAUGCAGCGACGCCGCGUGGGGGAUGACGGCCUUCGGGUUGUAAACUCCUUUCGACCGCGAGGAAGCCACCUGGUUGGAAGGGUGGUGACGGUAGUGGUAGAAGAAGCAGCGGCUAACUACGUG
rnacentral:rRNA from 1 species